GGAAGUGUUUGAUACUGCCUGGCUGCUGCGCGCAUUUCUUCCUUCAGCCAGCGGGAAGGCGGGGUUAGACAUCCAACGCCCACGUCUAGUCUCUCCCGCUUUGGCACCACCUGUGUGAACCACAGACUGUACACAGUUUGAUUGUGGGGCUGCUCUGCUUCCUUCCUCUACCCCUGCUCCUCUUGGCUGAUCAUCUCCUCGAGGACUCGGUUUGAGGCUCUUUCAGAAGGACACAUCAACUGUGAGGCCUCCAGAGAACUAGGGAGGAUCCCAGAAUGCUCUGCAGUCCCAUGAAUGAUACUCCGAGCUGCCUUUGAAUUCUCUGCAUGGAAAAAGAAAAAUCUCCCAAACCUCUUUGCCUGACACUGAUCUUCUCAACCUCUGGGAUAAGGAAACUGUACACCAACUCUGACACAAUCUCCUCCGACUGAAGAUUGUUCCGGCUACUCACACACACACAC